UAUGAUAAGAGGAUUAUGUACGUAUGAAUAUUGUGAACAGAAUAUUUUUAAAUGUAUCAGUUGUCAGAGUUGACAAGACCAUAUUUCGAGGACGAAAUGUAUUCUGGGGGAGGGGCAGUGUUGUAAAUGUGUAUAUUGGUUAUUUCCAAGUAAAGGAAUAUUGUUAUUAUUGUAUUAAGAGAGUUUAUAUAAGUUGUCAGAAGUUAUUUCUAGUAUUUAGUAUAUUGAAUGAGUAAUUAACGUACGUUUUACUUUAUGUUAUUAGCUGUAUCGAUAACGUCGUAUAUGGCGCAACUUUGUCAUGUAUUGUUCAGAACGUUACCGUUGGGUCAAUAUUUUAAGCGUGAACCCAAAAGUGUACAUUUAUGAGUUCUUAACUGGAAGAAUUAAUAUGUCUAGAUAUGUUUAUUUAUAAGAGUGUUUGAUUAUAAGCAUUUUGAGUCGAGGACUCCUAUAUUUUAUGUAAGCGUUUUACGUUAUGUUACGUUAUGUUUUUCUUCCUGCUUAGAAUAUUUACUUCCGGUAAUUUGAAAUAAAUACCAGUGCAACGUCACGUUCGUCAGUCUUUGCUGUGUUUACUUUUGGCUUGCAGCAAGGCUCAUCCCGGGGGUUCCUAGAGGUAAGAAGCAGCGCAUUAGCUGUAUGCCUCGCAUUUUAUAUUACAAGUAAGGGUUAUAAUUUAGAGGUAAGAAGCAGCG
rnacentral:lncRNA from 1 species